GGUCCGCUGGCGUAAUGGCAGCGCGUCUGACUACGAAUACACUUCAAGAAAUCAGGAGGUUCCAGGUUCGACCCCUGGGCGGAUCG